CCGCCAUGCAGUCCUCCGCGCCGGACCUUUGCGUUGCGUUCCUCCGCGCGAGGCCGCCGCCGCUGCAGCAGCUCUCUCGGAUCCAACACGAAGCUUGCGACGAAGGGCUUGGAGUUGGCCGUGAGUGCUCGAGGUGAAGUGGCGGCAUGCGUUUCUGUAGGGGGGGAGGGGCGCACAUUAGGGAAGUCAGCGGCCGGAUCCGAGCGCGGAUGAGGCGAGGUUGCCACUUGGGGCCCAUGUCGGUCAGAUCCAGGCAACACAUGGGAGUCGGCGUGGCGGCAGCGUAGUGCCGAGGCAGGAAGGAGGCACGGGACGACACAUCGGCGGGUCGUGGUGCACUGCACGAGAUGAGUGACAUGAUGUAAACAACGCUGUAGGCAUUGAUGCCACACAUGCGUCAUUUUCUACUGCCGAUACUGAUUCUUGAGGGCUACUGGCACUGCCGCCGGGUAUGAGCAGGAACUGCCUCCAUUGAGAACUCUGGGUACUGCCGCUGCCGACGACCAUCGAGCACCGAGUUGGAACUGCCACCAUCAAGGAUGACAGGCCGCCAUUGAGGUUGAUUGUUUUGGCCGCGCCUUCCCACUACCAGUCUGCACCAUCACUGUUGUAUUCUGAGCAGCCGGAGAACCCCUACGGUUGCAAGAUUCCUGUAACUUGUAUUUGAGAUGCAUGUCCUAAUCGUCUUGGUUGUGGUCAGGUGUGGUAUGUAGGAAUCCGUCAGAAGAAUGUGACACAUAAUAAUAGUUUCAUCAUCUCAUCUUCAUGCUACUUCCAGUUAAGUGCUAGAAAAAUAAAUGCCCGAGACAUGUUUUAAGGAAUUCAAAGACGAGUUCCCUUUGAAGAGCAAGCAAUCAUAGUACGGAGCAAGAUGAUUCGAAAUAGAGGGCUCUGUACUGCAGGACAACAUAUUCACUAUCAAUAUAUGGUCUAUUUCCAAUAUAAGGUGUAUGUCAAGUUAUACACUGACUACAGAAAGUGAUGCUCGACG